rnacentral:misc_RNA from 1 species
AAGUCGUAACAAGGUUUCCGUAGGUGAACCUGCGGAAGGAUCAUUAAUGAAUACACUGGACGCCUCUUUUUAGAGGUCCCGACCCCUUCAAUUACCUUCACACUGUGCACACACUUCAUUUUUACACCCCAUUUUUUAAACACCUAUAGUAUAAGAAUGUACCAGUCUCUUAAUUGAGCAUAAAUUAUAUUAAUAAAA